CCUACGGGAGGCAGCAGUGGGGAAUAUUGCACAAUGGGGGAAACCCUGAUGCAGCGACGCCGCGUGAAGGAUGAAGUAUUUCGGUAUGUAAACUUCUAUCAGCAGGGAAGAAAAUGACGGUACCUGACUAAGAAGCCCCGGCUAACUACGUGCCAGCAGCCGCGGUAAUACGUAGGGGGCAAGCGUUAUCCGGAUUUACUGGGUGUAAAGGGAGCGUAGACGGCAUGGCAAGUCUGAAGUGAAAGCCCGGGGCUCAACCCCGGGACUGCUUUGGAAACUGUCAGGCUAGAGUGCUGGAGAGGUAAGUGGAAUUCCUAGUGUAGCGGUGAAAUGCGUAGAUAUUAGGAGGAACACCAGUGGCGAAGGCGGCUUACUGGACAGUGACUGACGUUGAGGCUCGAAAGCGUGGGGAGCAAACAGGAUU
rnacentral:rRNA from 1 species